GAGCGACAGGAAGUGAAGAAGAAGAAGAAGAAUGAAGGAAAGAAAGAAUCAAGAGAGCGCAAGCAUGUUGAUUAGCAGGGUGCUCAUGAAUACAAAUGAAUGCAGGAGAAGAUUAGCAUACCACAAUGCUAAUCUGCUCCAGCAGGACCUUCUGGAAGCUCCUCCGUCUUCACGCACACAGGCAGCAACUACAAUUGGCGUGCAACCGGUCCAGGGUGUACCCCGCCUCUCGCCCUAAGUCAGCUGCGAUAGGCGCCGGCACGCCCGCGACCGGAGGCGGGACCGAGUCGUCGCUUUGCAAGUCACAAGUGAAGAUGAACGCUGAUGAUGUCACGAACGGCGUGGCCUGCACGCUGAAGCCUCCGGUGUUUCUUCACUUUGGAGCCGAAGAUGCCAAAACACACACACGUUGCUCGGGCGUGUGCGUGAUCGACGUCACCCUACCCCCGGGGAAAACGGUCAAUAUUGAGACCAUCGACUUUAAGAAUUUCUACACGGCGUUGGUCAGCGUGAGGCUGCAGAGGCGGCGUCCCGGCCGGGAGGGGGCGGCGGCCGAGUGGCGCACGGCCCUCGGGGACCGCCCCCUCAUGAGCAACCCGCACACGGAGGCGGGCGCGCAGGACUACUACAGCAUUCACAGGAACCAGAUGCGAGUGGAGCCGGACGACGUGUCGUCGGUGCGACUCAUCCUGAAGCAGCCGUCGUCCGCCUGGUCGACCUUCAGCGUAGAGGACGUCCGCAUUUUCCCGCACACGCAACCUGAGCCUGACAAGGAGCUCUCUGAUUGGUUGUUGGCUCUAAACCUUGUUGACCCAGACCCACAUGUUCAGUGUGAGAUGCGGUGCGCCCCCUGCAGGGCCCGGUGGACGCUGCGUCCGUCUCCUGCAGUCUUCGGCAGAUGUGGGCGUUGACCCAAGUGAUGCAGAGCAGCCAGAGCUCCACGACCUCCGUCGGACGCUUCGAUGUGGAUGGCUGUUAUGAUAUCAGUUUAUUAUCUCUGACAUAAAACACAUUUUUAAGAAAUGAAUUACAUUGUGCUCAUUGUUUUAUGUCAAAUAUGACGUGACGAUACAAUGUCCUGAUGAUCAUAUGAAUAAAACGUCAUUUGUGAGCCUGAACUGCGUAGGAAAGCACCAAGCACCAAAAUAAGUCAUCACAUUCCACCGAUGACCACAAGGAGGCAGCAGCAAGCCACCGAAGAGGAUGAAUGAUGAUGAUGAUUCAAUAGCGGCUUAGCUUAAUUAUGGAUGAAGUGUGUUUUCUCCUGGUUGACACUAGGAGGCGCUCACGCCGUCACUGACCUGGGAACGAUAUGCACUAGUGGCCUAUAGAAGGACUUUUAUAUGCGAGGACCUCAAUGCGUCUUGAAAAGUGCUCAACAACUGACGGUCACUACAAAAGCAAAAUAUUCUUUGAAAUAUCUCCAAGGGGUUGACUGGUGGCCACUUCCAAAGCAGAGUUCCUCAUAUUGUUCACAAGCGUUUCACAGAGUUUGGACGGAUCGUUCAAGAACCACAGAAUCUUUCGUUCUGCGUCGACAUGAGCAGCGUAGCGACCGAAAAAAAGAGUCGCGACUCUUCUUCCACCGGAACAAAGUUUGUUCCUAGCUUUUCCCGUCCUGUAGUAAUCAGCAUGAGGACAAGGGUUGCUUUUCACCGGUGAAAUGUCUUCAAUAAACAACACUUGCC